UGUCCCUUUCGUCUAGGGGUAUAGGACAUCGUCUUUUCAUGGCGAGAACACGGGUUCGAAUCCCGUAAGGGAUAGCC
rnacentral:tRNA from 1 species